rnacentral:rRNA from 1 species
GAAUUUUAUAUAUUAAAAUGAAUGUUAAUAUUUACGUUAAUAUAUCUUAUUGGGAGGAUAUUUAAAUUGAGAAAACUUUAAUUAUAGUAUUACAUAAAUUAGUGAUUUUAAAAUGAAUGAAUAUAAUUUUAUUAAGAAUUAAUUACCUUAGGGAUAACAGCAUGAUAUUUUUUUGUAGUUCUUAUAUAAAGAAAUGAUUAU